UAAUACGGAGGGUGCAAGCGUUAUCCGGAUUCACUGGGUUUAAAGGGUGCGUAGGUGGGUUGGUAAGUCAGUGGUGAAAUCUCCGAGCUUAACUUGGAAACUGCCAUUGAUACUAUUAAUCUUGAAUAUUGUGGAGGUCAGCGGAAUAUGUCAUGUAGCGGUGAAAUGCUUAGAGAUGACAUAGAACACCAAUUGCGAAGGCAGCUGGCUACACAUAUAUUGACACUGAGGCACGAAAGCGUGGGGAUCAAACAGGAUUAGAUACCCUGGUAGUCCACGCCCUAAACUAUGGAUACUCGACAUACGCGAUACACAGUGUGUGUCUGAGCGAAAGCAUUAAGUAUCCCACCUGGGAAGUACGAUCGCAAGAUUG
rnacentral:rRNA from 1 species